UGCCCUAGUAACGGCGAGUGAAGCGGCAACAGCUCAAAUUUGAAAGCUAGCCUUCGGGUUCGCAUUGUAAUUUGUAGAGGAUGAUUUGGGGAAGCCGCCUGUCUAAGUUCCUUGGAACAGGACGUCAUAGAGGGUGAGAAUCCCGUAUGUGACAGGAAAUGGCACCCUAUGUAAAUCUCCUUCGACGAGUCGAGUUGUUUGGGAAUGCAGCUCUAAAUGGGAGGUAAAUUUCUUCUAAAGCUAAAUAUUGGCGAGAGACCGAUAGCGCACAAGUAGAGUGAUCGAAAGAUGAAAAGCACUUUGGAAAGAGAGUUAAAAAGCACGUGAAAUUGUUGAAAGGGAAGCGCUUGCAAUCAGACUUGUUUAAACUGUUCGGCCGGUCUUCUGACCGGUUUACUCAGUUUGGACAGGCCAGCAUCAGUUUCGGCGGCCGGAUAAAGGCUCUGGGAAUGUGGCCUCCACUUCGGUGGAGGUGUUAUAGCCCAGGGUGUAAUACGGCCAGCCGGGACUGAGGUCCGCGCUCGGCUAGGAUGCUGCGUA
rnacentral:rRNA from 1 species